GGUUAAGCGACUAAGCGUACACGGUGGAUGCCUAGGCAAUCAGAGGCGAUGAAGGACGUGCUAAUCUGCGAUAAGCGUCGGUAAGGUGAUAUGAACCGUUACAACCGACGAUUUCCGAAUGGGGAAACCCAGUGCAAUUCGUUGCACUAUCGUUUGAUGAAUACAUAGUCAAACGAAGCGAACCGGGGGAACUGAAACAUCUCAGUACCCCGAGGAAAAGAAAUCAACCGAGAUUCCCCUAGUAGCGGCGAGCGAACGGGGAGCAGCCCAGAGUCUUAAUCAGCAUUAGCAGCCCAGAGUCUUAAUCAGCAUU
rnacentral:rRNA from 1 species